UUAAGCGACUAAGCGUACACGGUGGAUGCCCUGGCAGUCAGAGGCGAUGAAGGACGUGCUAAUCUGCGAAAAGCGUCGGUAAGGUGAUAUGAACCGUUAUAACCGGCGAUGUCCGAAUGGGGAAACCCAGUGCAAUUCGUUGCACUAUCGUUAACUGAAUACAUAGGUUAACGAGGCGAACCGGGGGAACUGAAACAUCUAAGUACCCCGAGGAAAAGAAAUCAACCGAGAUUCCCCCAGUAGCGGCGAGCGAACGGGGAGCAGCCCAGAGUCUGAAUCAGCUUGUGUGUUAGUGGAACGGUCUGGAAAGUCCGACGGUACAGGGUGAUAGUCCCGUACACCAAAAUGCACAGGCUGUGAACUCGAAGAGUAGGGCGGGACACGUGGUAUCCUGUCUGAAUAUGGGGGACCAUCCUCCAAGGCUAAAUACUCCUGACUGACCGAUAGUGAACCAGUACCGUGAGGGAAAGGCGAAAAGAACCCCGGCGAGGGGAGUGAAAAAGAACCUGAAACCGUGUACGUACAAGCAGUGGGAGCACCUUCGGGUGUGACUGCGUACCUUUUGUAUAAUGGGUCAGCGACUUAUAUUCUGUAGCAAGGUUAACCGUAUAGGGGAGCCGCAGGGAAACCGAGUCUUAACUGGGCGUUAAGUUGCAGGGUAUAGACCCGAAACCCGGUGAUCUAGCCAUGGGCAGGUUGAAGGUUGGGUAACACUAACUGGAGGACCGAACCGACUAAUGUUGAAAAAUUAGCGGAUGACUUGUGGCUGGGGGUGAAAGGCCAAUCAAACCGGGAGAUAGCUGGUUCUCCCCGAAAGCUAUUUAGGUAGCGCCUCGUGAACUCAUCUUCGGGGGUAGAGCACUGUUUCGGCUAGGGGGUCAUCCCGACUUACCAACCCGAUGCAAACUACGAAUACCGAAGAAUGUUAUCACGGGAGACACACGGCGGGUGCUAACGUCCGUCGUGAAGAGGGAAACAACCCAGACCGCCAGCUAAGGUCCCAAAGUCAUGGUUAAGUGGGAAACGAUGUGGGAAGGCACAGACAGCCAGGAUGUUGGCUUAGAAGCAGCCAUCAUUUAAAGAAAGCGUAAUAGCUCACUGGUCGAGUCGGCCUGCGCGGAAGAUGUAACGGGGCUAAACCAUGCACCGAAGCUGCGGCAGCGACACUAUGUGUUGUUGGGUAGGGGAGCGUUCUGUAAGCCUGCGAAGGUGUGCUGUGAGGCAUGCUGGAGGUAUCAGAAGUGCGAAUGCUGACAUAAGUAACGAUAAAGCGGGUGAAAAGCCCGCUCGCCGGAAGACCAAGGGUUCCUGUCCAACGUUAAUCGGGGCAGGGUGAGUCGACCCCUAAGGCGAGGCCGAAAGGCGUAGUCGAUGGGAAACAGGUUAAUAUUCCUGUACUUGGUGUUACUGCGAAGGGGGACGGAGAAGGCUAUGUUAGCCGGGCGACGGUUGUCCCGGUUUAAGCAUGUAGGCUGGUUGUCCAGGCAAAUCCGGAUAAUCAAGGCUGAGGUGUGAUGACGAGGCACUACGGUGCUGAAGUAACAAAUGCCCUGCUUCCAGGAAAAGCCUCUAAGCAUCAGGUAACAUCAAAUCGUACCCCAAACCGACACAGGUGGUCAGGUAGAGAAUACCAAGGCGCUUGAGAGAACUCGGGUGAAGGAACUAGGCAAAAUGGUGCCGUAACUUCGGGAGAAGGCACGCUGGUGUGUAGGUGAAGCCCCUGCGGGUGGAGCUGAGACCAGUCGAAGAUACCAGCUGGCUGCAACUGUUUAUUAAAAACACAGCACUGUGCAAACACGAAAGUGGACGUAUACGGUGUGACGCCUGCCCGGUGCCGGAAGGUUAAUUGAUGGGGUUAUCCGUAAGGAGAAGCUCUUGAUCGAAGCCCCGGUAAACGGCGGCCGUAACUAUAACGGUCCUAAGGUAGCGAAAUUCCUUGUCGGGUAAGUUCCGACCUGCACGAAUGGCGUAAUGAUGGCCAGGCUGUCUCCACCCGAGACUCAGUGAAAUUGAACUCGCUGUGAAGAUGCAGUGUACCCGCGGCAAGACGGAAAGACCCCGUGAACCUUUACUAUAGCUUGACACUGAACAUUGAGCCUUGAUGUGUAGGAUAGGUGGGAGGCUUUGAAGCGUGGACGCCAGUCUGCGUGGAGCCAACCUUGAAAUACCACCCUUUAAUGUUUGAUGUUCUAACGUUGGCCCCUUACCGGGGUUGCGGACAGUGUCUGGUGGGUAGUUUGACUGGGGCGGUCUCCUCCCAAAGCGUAACGGAGGAGCACGAAGGUUAGCUAAUCCUGGUCGGACAUCAGGAGGUUAGUGCAAUGGCAUAAGCUAGCUUGACUGCGAGCGUGACGGCGCGAGCAGGUGCGAAAGCAGGUCAUAGUGAUCCGGUGGUUCUGAAUGGAAGGGCCAUCGCUCAACGGAUAAAAGGUACUCCGGGGAUAACAGGCUGAUACCGCCCAAGAGUUCAUAUCGACGGCGGUGUUUGGCACCUCGAUGUCGGCUCAUCACAUCCUGGGGCUGAAGUAGGUCCCAAGGGUAUGGCUGUUCGCCAUUUAAAGUGGUACGCGAGCUGGGUUUAGAACGUCGUGAGACAGUUCGGUCCCUAUCUGCCGUGGGCGCUGGAGAAUUGAGGGGGGCUGCUCCUAGUACGAGAGGACCGGAGUGGACGCAUCACUGGUGUUCGGGUUGUCAUGCCAAUGGCACUGCCCGGUAGCUAAAUGCGGAAGAGAUAAGUGCUGAAAGCAUCUAAGCACGAAACUUGCCCCGAGAUGAGUUCUCCCUGAGACUUUAAGUCUCCUGAAGGAACGUUGAAGACGACGACGUUGAUAGGCCGGGUGUGUAAGCGCAGCGAUGCGUUGAGCUAACCGGUACUAAUGAACCGUGAGGCUUAACCUU
rnacentral:rRNA from 1 species